AUUGGAGAUGCAUAUGGGGUGAGAAUGUUUGCUCUAGUUCAUGUUUCUAAAAUGCUCUAUGUGUUGCUAAAAAUACUUUGUAUGCCAUGUCAUAACAAAGAGGAAUUGGAACUAUUUAUUUCAGUGUUCCUAAUUCUUGUCAGAAUGUGACCUGGAAUUGUGACACAGAAUUUUUCAAAGUCAGCCUGGGAGAAGGGGUGUACAUUCAUCAAUGUUUUUACCUUAGUCACCUAUGCAGCGGCACUUGUGAAGCUCUAGCCCAGGUUCUAAAGAGGAAAAGGCCCUGCUUCUGUAUUGGUUAUUCAUGCAAGCCAAACAAUUUUCCCCAGUUUCCUGAACAGCAACACUCAGCAACAGGAGAGAAAUCUCUUUCUGCAGACAUGUUCAACAAGCAAGGUUUAAUGUUCAGUGCAGCAUGUGUCUGGAAUAUGCAUAAGAUGGAGACAGGCUUGAGAGCUUACCUGACCGAAGUGAACUGUUUUGCUGCAGACAACCUAACUGCUCGCGCAAUCACACAGAAAAAUUUUGAUGCUGCUGCUUUCCAAUAUUAUGAAUGA
rnacentral:lncRNA from 1 species